UUAUUAUUACUCUGCUUAUCCCUUUUUUCAUCAUGUGGUCGGACACGCGGUGUUAAUUCCUAAUCCACCGUAACCUCUAGAUUCAGAUCAACAGUCUUUCGUUCUGUUGUUACGAUUUCUAUCCUAAGUUCUUUUACUACCAAGUUGGUUAAGUAAAUUUAGUCCUUGUCCGAUGAUACAAUUUUUACCCCUCGGUUAGCUGACCCCUUCCAGACAUCGUUCAACUUCCCAACUUCCCCCCUCGCGCCACGCCACGAAGCUGUAGUGACGAGAUGCGAAGCAGACGUCCUUGCGGUCAUACGCUCAUCCCGUUCUUCGCCCAAAGCGGAACCGUAUACGAUAAGAUUUUUUGGACACUCCUAAGUGGGUUAAAAAUGGCCAAGAACGGCGUAGUCACAAAAACACGACGUGGCCGACGCAGGGUUAACUUUACACCUGGCACGGCGUAUUGUCAAUAAUUCUUACCAUUAAUCCUAUGAGAUUGCGGACCAAGUCGCUAGAGGUGAACUUUCAUGUUGUGCAUUAUUUUUCUUAUUUUAGAAUUGAACGAUUUGUGUACAUGUUUGAUGGAGAACAUGUUUGGUUUACAUGAUUCUGUAGCUUUUAACUCAUGGUAGAUUUGUAUUUACUAACUUUGAGAUUGCCAUUAGCCUUCGAUAAAUGCGUGGAUGUGUUAACCUGGAAACAGGAAAAAAUUUCGAUUCUAUUUACACCAGAGAAUUAUGGAAGCAAAGAUUACAAAACAUCAUAUCACGUAUGGACGCAAAACUACAAGUAGAUGAGGAUUCCGGUGCAGUAUAGCAAGCGAAAAAAUUUUCGUCUCAUAAUCGUUGUGUACGAUCCUUCGUGCACUAAUUGAACCCUGAGAACGCUAGAAAAGAUAUCUGGGACACCAUGGAACCAACGGCUGAGGAAAUAAGGAGAAAGUUAAACUAUAGUUGAAAACUACAAAAAUAA